rnacentral:rRNA from 1 species
UACGUAGGGGGCUAGCGUUGUCCGGAUUUAUUGGGCGUAAAGAGCGUGUAGGCGGCCAGGUAGGUCUGCUGUGAAAACUCGAGGCUCAACCUCGAGACGUCGGCGGAAACCAUCUGGCUAGAGUCCGGAAGAGGAGAGUGGAAUUCCUGGUGUAGCGGUGAAAUGCGCAGAUAUCAGGAAGAACACCCGUGGCGAAAGCGGCUCUCUGGGACGGUACUGACGCUGAGACGCGAAAGCGUGGGAGCAAACAGG